rnacentral:misc_RNA from 1 species
CCGGGCGCUCAGGCCCCAAACCAUCGCGAACCUACCACCACGUUGCCUCGGCGGGCGGCUCCAGGGGGAGCCUCAGGCCCCCCUCCGGGGGGGGCGCCCGCCGCAGGCCCCCAGACCACGCCGCAUCUAGGCACUCCGAGUCCCCUGCGGAAGCAGUCA